rnacentral:rRNA from 1 species
ACGCUAGCUACAGGCUUAACACAUGCAAGUCGAGGGGCAGCAUUUUAGUUUGCUCGCAAACUGAAGAUGGCGACCGGCGCACGGGUGAGUAACACGUAUCCAACCUGCCGAUAACUCCGGGAUAGCCUUUCGAAAGAAAGAUUAAUACCGGAUAGCAUACGAAUAUCGCAUGAUAUUUUUAUUAAAGAAUUUCGGUUAUCGAUGGGGAUGCGUUCCAUUAGUUUGUUGGCGGGGUAACGGCCCACCAAGACUACGAUGGAUAGGGGUUCUGAGAGGAAGGUCCCCCACAUUGGAACUGAGACACGGUCCAAACUCCUACGGGAGGCAGCAGUGAGGAAUAUUGGUCAAUGGGCGCGAGCCUGAACCAGCCAAGUAGCGUGAAGGAUGAAGGCUCUAUGGGUCGUAAACUUCUUUUAUAUGGGAAUAAAGUUUUCCACGUGUGGAAUUUUGUAUGUACCAUAUGAAUAAGGAUCGGCUAACUCCGUGCCAGCAGCCGCGGUAAUACGGAGGAUCCGAGCGUUAUCCGGAUUUAUUGGGUUUAAAGGGAGCGUAGGUGGAUUGUUAAGUCAGUUGUGAAAGUUUGCGGCUCAACCGUAAAAUUGCAGUUGAAACUGGCAGUCUUGAGUACAGUAGAGGUGGGCGGAAUUCGUGGUGUAGCGGUGAAAUGCUUAGAUAUCACGAAGAACUCCGAUUGC